rnacentral:lncRNA from 1 species
UGCUGGCAAAAAAUAAUAAUAAUAAAUUAAAGACGGUGGUGGGGAAAGGGGGGGAAAAAAGAGAAUUGAGGUGUGUUUUAUACAUGUACUGUUUCCCCACAAUGAAUGUAAUCUUGUUCUAAAAACAUAUUUUAAUAAAAGUAAUUUUUUAAAAAUUUUUAAACAGUAGGCACUUGUUCCUAAAUCUGGCGAUAGUGAGAGAGGGAGGGAAGUGAGUUCCCCGCCUGUCUCUGCUUCCCUUUCUCCUUCCAGCCACCUGCUCCCCUCCAACUGGCCGGACCUCCCUGACCAAAAUGACCCGGUGGCUCCGCCCCCUGGCCUUAGCGACCCAAGCCCCGCCCCUUCUCUGACCUUAGCGACCCGGCCGGCCCCGCCCCUCGGCCUCGCUGUUUCCUUCCUUAAGGUAAACAGACUGAACCGAGCCCGGCGAGGAGGACGAGGACCCGAAGCCCCUUCGGAGCCGCAGGAGGCGGAACCUGAGGAGCCUCUCGCUCCGUGGGCCCCCGGGUCUUGGUCGCCUCUCCCAUGGCUGCCAUCGGGGGACGCAGACGGAACCUCGGUUCCGCCGCCGAGGACCUUCCCGGAGCGCCUUCCACCCCCGCGCGCUGCCAGAGCAAACUGAUCAAACAAAUAGAUUUGGAUAUUUAUGAAAGCAGACAGAGCUGUUUGCACAUUUCAUUCAGCCUGCUACUCAGAAGACUGCAACCUCACCUUUGAAAAAGAAACCAGAGUGCCCAAGAAUAAAUCGGAUGAGAAAAAGAACUUGCUCUCAGUUGGUGAAUGAAUAAUAAUUUAUAUUUCAUUCAGCCAAACUUAUUUUUGAUAGUCUUCAUUAGAAAUAUAAAUUUAUUUCAUUUAAAAAUUUUAUGCCCAGUUGGCUUGGCAGUGUAUACCUGCAAAUGUAUAAAAAUUUAGUAUUAUAUGUAAUGCCUUACUUUUCAUAGCAUAUAGUUAUGGAUUACGACCACUAUACCUAAUAUAGCAUUUAAAUGUCAUGCCAUUUCUUAGAUGAGUCAAGGCAGAGGUUACCAUCACAGAGAAGUACAAUAAUCCAAGCUUGAACUUGGUUAUGACUGGGCUGAGCUUUCAUCUUCAAAACCACAUCCGUAAACUGAAGAUACGACUUUUACUGAAGUCUAUGCUCGUGUGGGUGACAUUGUGAUGACCUAUUCCACAUCAGGUUAAAAUUGUGUCGCAUACUUCCUGUCUUUCUAUAAAGUGUCAAGGGGUAUUCCAUCCUCGGGUG